GGACGCUUAGCUCAGUUGGUUAGAGCACCUGCUUCACACGCAGGGGGUCAUUGGUUCGAGUCCAAUAGCGUCCACCA
rnacentral:tRNA from 1 species